GAUGAACGCUGGCGGCGUGCCUAAUACAUGCAAGUCGAGCGAACAGACGAGGAGCUUGCUCCUCUGACGUUAGCGGCGGACGGGUGAGUAACACGUGGAUAACCUACCUAUAAGACUGGGAUAACUUCGGGAAACCGGAGCUAAUACCGGAUAAUAUAUUGAACCGCAUGGUUCAAUAGUGAAAGACGGUUUUGCUGUCACUUAUAGAUGGAUCCGCGCCGCAUUAGCUAGUUGGUAAGGUAACGGCUUACCAAGGCAACGAUGCGUAGCCGACCUGAGAGGGUGAUCGGCCACACUGAACUGAGACACGGUCCAGACUCCUACGGGAGGCAGCAGUAGGGAAUCUUCCGCAAUGGGCGAAAGCCUGACGGAGCAACGCCGCGUGAGUGAUGAAGGUCUUCGGAUCGUAAAACUCUGUUAUUAGGGAAGAACAAAUGUGUAAGUAACUAUGCACGUCUUGACGGUACCUAAUCAGAAAGCCACGGCCAACUACGUG
rnacentral:rRNA from 1 species